rnacentral:misc_RNA from 1 species
GAUGAAGAACGUAGCGAAAUGCGAUACGUAAUGUGAAUUGCAGAAUUCAGUGAAUCAUCGAAUCUUUGAACGCAUAUUGCGCUCUUUGGUAUUCCGAAGAGCAUGCUUGUUUGAGUAUCAGUAAACACCUCAAAGCUUUUGGAUUUUUUAAUCGAAAAGCUUUGGACUUGAGCAAUCCCGACACCAAUCUUUUUGAGAUCGGUGGCGGGUUGCUUGAAAUGCAGGUGCAGCUGGACAUUCUCCUGAGCUAAAAGCAUAUUCAUUUAGUCCCGUCAAACGGAUUAUUACUUUUGCUGCAGCUAACAUAAAGGGAGUUUGACCGUAUUGGCUGACUGAUGCAGGAUUUCACAAGGGUCGGCAACGAUUCUUGUUAAACUCGAUCUCAAAUCAAGUAAGACUACCCGCUGAACUUAAGCAUAUCAAUAAGCGGAGGA